CUCCCACCCUGCUUCUGGUGCAAGCGCCACUAAAUCUCACCCUAACAUCCCUUCGGCUUUAGGAGAGGCUGGCGAGACUGUUAGAGGGAUCCAGGUGGCCACCUCCUGGACAGCAGGUCCCCAAGCGCACAUCCCGGGGGCGGGGACGGGGACGGGAGAGCCCCUGAUGGCGUCUUACACGUUAUUCCCGGACGGUCCGUCCAGGCGGCACGGCGGGUUUCGGGUGGGCCCUGGCAGCGUCCCUGAAUGGGAUGCCCUGAUUUUGGCGGUGCGGGAGCCCUGCUAGACCGGCUGCCCUGGUAGGACGCCCCGGGGAGGGCGGCAGAGCCCCGCAGGAUGUGGCGGUACCUGCCGGCACCGGGGGCAGAAGCAAGCCCGCAGCCCCCCCCUCCGCCCCCGCGGGGGACGCUCUCACAGAACGCGACAAGAGGGAUCCUACCGUCUUUCUUCAAAACUAAUUAAUAAUCAGUGGGGGUGGCGGUGGUGGGUGCUUCUGCGUGCACGCGUGGGACCGCACCUGGCAGCUGCGGCCGCUCGGGGGGUGUGCGGGGGCAGCGCGGCGGUCCCGCUCCCCCGCGCAUCCCCACCGCCGCCGGCCGCUGUUGGAGUGGCGGCUCCGCAACCCGGCGCCGGGGCCAUGGGUGCCCCCAGCAGCCCCCGGCGCACCCUUCCCGGCCGCCUCAGCCUCCCCUUGCAGCCAAGUCAUAAACGAAACGCCAUGAGCAUUUACCUGCCGCUGGAAAGACCCAGCCCGCUGUCGUCCCGGUGACAAUUUACGUUCCUCCUGAGGCAUUAAAGAUUAGCGUAAGCGUUGCCGAUCUUGAAACGCUGUUUUCAAAUGCAAGGGGUAAAUGCUACAACAAAAGAAAUUAAAAUAGGUCGUUGUUAGAGUAGCCAAGUAUUUCAUUUUCUCUUUACACUCUUUAACCAAAACGGUCUGGUUUUGUUAUUAGUGAAAAUACUUAAAUUUUCACAAACUUUCUUCAGAGAAUUCCAUUUAAGAUCGCUUUUAAUGUGUAGAUCUAUUUGUUACGGAAAUCUACGUGUAACGUAAGAGCGAAAGAUUUGUUGUUUGUCUUUGCCGGUAUUAAAGAUCGUCUGAGCUUACAGGA